rnacentral:lncRNA from 13 species
AUGGAAGAGAACAGACUAAAACAGGGAGGAACNNNNNNNNNNUCAGACUCGUCCCACUGGGGGUCAGGUGUGCUCCAGAUCGUCUCUGAAAAGUUCCACCAGCGGAGUUCUGAGCCGAAGGGAAGGCUCCUGGGCGGACAGCCGCCCACUCCCCCUUCUGAGACCGACAAGGAGCUUCAGGGCAUAGCAGAUCUGUCUGUGAGUAACAUCCUGAAAAGGGCCCAGGAGGACCUCUUCUCUUCUGGUGAGGAUGACCUGGAGAACACCCAUCCAGGUAUUACUCUGACAGAAGAGAAGCUCUCCAGCAUCUUCUCAGAGCUGUUCAGGGAUGCCUGUGAGAGUGCCCAGGAGGCCGCCAGACGGAUCCACCACAUGAGGUCUGGAAGAGGCAACAACAGCCAGAAUGGGAGUUGGCCUGGGUCGUCACAGGGAUCGAGCAAAUCCAACAUGCCAGAGUUGGGAGAACUGGGGUCAGUGAGGAGUCCCAAGGGAAGUGACGUCCAUAAAGUCCUUAGCGAGGGGUCCCUCCCUGUCUUUGCCCUGUUUGAGGAGAGGCCAGGGGAAGUUGGGGAGACCAGCAGCCCUGCUGGGGAGAUGGACGAGACACAGACUGCCAGCACUCCCAGCAUUCCCCGGUCUGGGCAUGGCGGCAGAAGGAGUAGCCAGACCACCACUCCCACCCCCGGCCACAGAGAGGCAGGAUUCACAGCCAGUAACAUCUUUGAUGUUAUUAUUCAUCUGGCGCACUCUGACACUGACCGGGAACUCCACCAGGAGUUCAGCAGUGAGGAUGAUGUUUCACUGAAUGACAUCAUGGACAUGAAGUCAACCCUGGCAGUGGAGCCCCUGGGUCAGAUCCUGUCCUCAUGGAAGCUGGUCAACAUGAUCUUCAGGGGGAAGGUCCACUACUUUGGGAAGGAUCUCAUCUGCAAGGUGUAUCAGAUGCUUCUGGACACCGGUAUGGGCAGGAGGCCAAUGGCCCGCCAGAGCAGGUCCGAGCCCAUCCUGAAAGACCUGGCUGCCAACCGUAGGCUCUCCAAUGAAUUCUUCACAGACGUGCUGUACAUGUUCAUCCAACGGGCCAUUAAGAAUCUGCUGGAGAACUUCUUGGGUCUGCCGACCACCCCACCAGGCAGAGACAUAAUGUGGAAUGACAACUUUAACUGGAUGUAUAGGGACGGCUGGGGGAACACCCCCACAUCCAGCGAGGAGGAAUUGUGGGACAGCGACUCCACCUGGUCAAGUGGGCUUGGGGAGGAGGAAGGGACAGAGUCCCGUGGGAGGUGGGCCGCUCUGUUGGAGAAGGGCAGCUUACUGACCCUCCAUUCCUCCAGCUCCCUCUCCCUCUCCGAUGACAACAAGGAGGCACUAGGGGCCGUCUGCCAAGUCCUGACCACCAGGGUGGGAGACAUCCUGAACAGUACCUGCAACGACGAUUGCAAGGCCAGGCUCAUCAUCCAGAAAGGUACACUUAUAACCUGUUUUACCCAUAUGACCAGUAAUAACAGUGUAAUAACCUGUGUAAUAACCCGUGUAUUACCAUUAUAGUAAAUGUGCUAGAUACUGCAUAGUGUUAUACAUGAAUGUGGCUUUGAACCAUUUCAGAAUAUGAGUGUAUUUUCUUAGGAUUGGAUUCCGGUGCCAGGGAAAGGUUCCCUGACUUUCCGUGUCCCUCUUCACCCAAGGACGAAGAGGAGGUGGUUGUGAGUGCCAUGACUGUCUCAUACCCUAAACCCUCCACCUCAACCCAGGCAGCAUGGGCAGCUCCUGCCCAGACUCUGGAUGUUUUUCUGCCCAGACCCUGCCUGGAUGAAGAAGAGGUAGUGCCCAGCACCUCCUUGAAGGACAACUCUGUGACGACCACCCAUGCAGCACUGGCAGCUCCUUCCCAGACCCUGGUAGAAGAGGUGGGAGAAGCUGAGGUGUCCAACGUGAGUGAGUGCUCCCUGAUGCCCACCAAGGCCCUUGAGAAGAUUCCCUCCCUCCUACCAGGCAAGAUCCUUAUCGAGGAGGACACCCUCAGUUGCAGCACUCCCUGGGCCACCGUCAUGAGCCCCCAGACCCUGAAGUUUAUCCUCCACGGCAUCAUGUGCCGACUGGAGGCCUCAGAGUCCCCCCAGACAAGGAGGGCCAAUGACCCCUUCAGGCUGAUGAAGGAUCUCUUUCUGGAGGUCCAGCAUGCCCUGAAGUAUGCUGACAUCUCUGUCCUCUUUGGCCUGGAGGAGAGCAUCCAAUUCAUUGGGGAGGAUGCGGUGAAGGCCAUCGUGAAGACUGCAGCUAAAAGAUUGUCCCUGCGUUCGGACUCCAACCGGGCUCAACUGCGUGCCGCGCGCUCUGGUGGUGAGGCAGCCAUCAGGUGCAUGGCGGACACCAUCACACAAGUCAUAGAUGACUAUUCCGAGGACUGGAGUUCCGGCGGCCAUUUUGGAGCCAGGAGGAGCCGUGCUAGUGGGAGGUCACACUCCUCAACCUCCUCAAGGAGUGACGUCACCCUCACCGAGGAGCUCCUGGCCCGGAGGGAAUCCCUUGAAGAGGACCUAGCGGAGAUGGCUGAUGACAGCACUGGUUUGGAGAAGACCAUUGUAAGCUCAGCCAUCUCUGCCAAGUCCCAGGUAAUUAGCUACAUUUCUGAGAGCUCCGAGCCCAACAGCUGUGCCCUCUUCACAGACCUCGAGGACAUCACCUCCACACAUGUGAGACAGACAAGAACUAGUAGAUCGUUUAGUUAUUUGGGCUGUUUGAUUGUGAGGCAUCAACUCAAAUCUGUUUCUCUCUCUACGAAGGAGAAGGAUAAGAAAGAGGCUAUGAAGGAAGAAGUGAGGAAGUCAGGAAAGAAGAGGCGAAGAAAUAACAAGGACCAGAAGAAGAACAAGGUGUCUCCUCUUGGCAAUGAUAGUAAGUCCUCAUUUCUGUCAGUCAACAUGUGCGUCUGUCUUCAGCACACUAUUGUAAUGUAAGGACGGGAGACUAUGAUGAAGUUAUCAGGGUCUUAUUCAUUAGCCACUAAAUGGAAGAGAACAGACUAAAACAGGGAGGAACUUUCUUGAACUUGCCAACAAAUUAUUGUUUUUGUUUUCUGUUUCAAAACAUUUUGCUACUGUGUGCCUGAAUGAACACGACCCUGAUUUCCUGCCCUGUUCUAUGUCACCUGUUCAGGUACUGUGGCUGCAGAUGAGCCGAAGAAAAAACAGGCUCUCCUCCCGCGGAUCACAGCUGCCCUGGCAAGACUAUUUUGCUUCCCCUGCAAAAAAAGAUGCAAAAAGUAACUGCAGAGACGAGUUUGGGAAACCCUGAUACCACCUCCCCCAACCCACUUUCUAAAAAAACAUCAGUGCCACCAGAAGAGGGAGACAACCCCCCCUAACUCAUUUUAUUACCCCCCCACCAUUUAAUUUAAUAAACACAACUUUCAGCUAUUUUGAUCUUCUUUACUUUUUUUUUACAGACCCACCUGCAUGCUAUAGAUUCGUAAGGUCAAUUUGCUGUGUACUGUCUACAGUAUCAUUGUUAUGAGUAGGUUCACUUUGUCAGUCAUUAUUUGUACCUUUAUUUAACUAGGCAAGUUAGUUUAGAACAAAUUCUUAUUUUCAAUGACGACCUAGGAACAUUGGGUUAACUGCCUUGUUCAGGGGCAG